rnacentral:rRNA from 1 species
CCUACGGGUGGCAGCAGUGGGGAAUAUUGGACAAUGGGGGCAACCCUGAUCCAGCCAUGCCGCGUGUGUGAAGAAGGCCCUCGGGUUGUAAAGCACUUUCAGUGAGGAAGAACGCCUGGUGGUUAAUACCCAUCAGGAAAGACAUCACUCACAGAAGAAGCACCGGCUAACUCCGUGCCAGCAGCCGCGGUAAUACGGAGGGUGCGAGCGUUAAUCGGAAUUACUGGGCGUAAAGCGCGCGUAGGUGGCUUGAUAAGCCGGUUGUGAAAGCCCCGGGCUCAACCUGGGAACGGCAUCCGGAACUGUCAAGCUAGAGUGCAGGAGAGGAAGGAAGAAUUCCCGGUGUAGCGGUGAAAUGCGUAGAGAUCGGGAGGAAUACCAGUGGCGAAGGCGGCCUUCUGGACUGACACUGACACUGAGGUGCGAAAGCGUGGGUAGCAAACAGGAUUAGAUACCCUAGUAGUC